ACACAUGCAAGUCGAACGAUGAAGCCCUUCGGGGUGGAUUAGUGGCGAACGGGUGAGUAACACGUGGGCAAUCUGCCCUUCACUCUGGGACAAGCCCUGGAAACGGGGUCUAAUACCGGAUAACACUCGCCGAGGCAUCUCGGUGGGUUGAAAGCUCCGGCGGUGAAGGAUGAGCCCGCGGCCUAUCAGCUUGUUGGUGAGGUAGAAGCUCACCAAGGCGACGACGGGUAGCCGGCCUGAGAGGGCGACCGGCCACACUGGGACUGAGACACGGCCCAGACUCCUACGGGAGGCAGCAGUGGGGAAUAUUGCACAAUGGGCGAAAGCCUGAUGCAGCGACGCCGCGUGAGGGAUGACGGCCUUCGGGUUGUAAACCUCUUUCAGCAGGGAAGAAGCGAAAGUGACGGUACCUGCAGAAGAAGCGCCGGCUAACUACGUGCCAGCAGCCGCGGUAAUACGUAGGGCGCAAGCGUUGUCCGGAAUUAUUGGGCGUAAAGAGCUCGUAGGCGGUCUGUCACGUCGGAUGUGAAAGCCCGGGGCUUAACCCCGGGUCUGCAUUCGAUACGGGCAGACUAGAGUGUGGUAGGGGAGAUCGGAAUUCCUGGUGUAGCGGUGAAAUGCGCAGAUAUCAGGAGGAACACCGGUGGCGAAGGCGGAUCUCUGGGCCAUUACUGACGCUGAGGAGCGAAAGCGUGGGGAGCGAACAGGAUUAGAUACCCUGGUAGUCCACGCCGUAAACGGUGGGAACUAGGUGUUGGCGACAUUCCACGUCGUCGGUGCCGCAGCUAACGCAUUAAGUUCCCCGCCUGGGGAGUACGGCCGCAAGGCUAAAACUCAAAGGAAUUGACGGGGGCCCGCACAAGCAGCGGAGCAUGUGGCUUAAUUCGACGCAACGCGAAGAACCUUACCAAGGCUUGACAUCGCCCGGAAAGCAUCAGAGAUGGUGCCCCCCUUGUGGUCGGGUGACAGGUGGUGCAUGGCUGUCGUCAGCUCGUGUCGUGAGAUGUUGGGUUAAGUCCCGCAACGAGCGCAACCCUUGUUCUGUGUUGCCAGCAUGCCCUUCGGGGUGAUGGGGACUCACAGGAGACUGCCGGGGUCAACUCGGAGGAAGGUGGGGACGACGUCAAGUCAUCAUGCCCCUUAUGUCUUGGGCUGCACACGUGCUACAAUGGCAGGUACAAUGAGCUGCGAUGUCGCAAGGCGGAGCGAAUCUCAAAAAGCCUGUCUCAGUUCGGAUUGGGGUCUGCAACUCGACCCCAUGAAGUCGGAGUUGCUAGUAAUCGCAGAUCAGCAUUGCUGCGGUGAAUACGUUCCCGGGCCUUGUACACACCGCCCGUCACGUCACGAAAGUCGGUAACACCCGAAGCCGGUGGCCCAACCCCCUUGUGGGGAGGGAGCUGUCGAAGGUGGGACUGGCGAUUGGGACGAAGUCGUAACAAGUA
rnacentral:rRNA from 1 species